rnacentral:lncRNA from 1 species
UGCAGCGCGUCAUGCCUGGGGCGACAUGCCAACGCAAGCCCCGCCCCCCCAAAAAGCCCUACCCCUGCGCUCGUGGUUGCUAGGCGGCAAGAAAGCGACGGCUUCGUGUGGGAGGCACGCGGAGGCGCGAGCAGGGUGGUGACGGGCGCCGCGCGGUGCCGGGACUCGGCCUCCGCCGCCAUGAUUGGGCGCCCAGCGACGUGGGCGGGGAGUUCUGUGCGCAGAGGCGGCCGGGCGGGGGCGCUCGGCGCCUCUCCGUGUACUUUUCAGGCCUCUCAGUUGGAAAUCGGCUGUAGGGGCCUGGCUUUAUGUCACAAAAGGGUUUUGAUCUUUACCUUGGGCUGGACGUUUUUCAGGUUUUAAAUUUAAACUUAUUUGCCGCGACUUUAUUUUAAACAUAUAUGAGUAUUACCUCAUUAUAAAAAAAAUGAAUCAUUCUUCAAAGGCAAAAGGUACUGGUGCUCCAAAAUCUAAUAAACAACACUCAGGAAAAAGCCACACAGCACGUUUGCCACAGGUUGCAAAGGAAAAGCAGAUACCAACCCAACAAGAGAUUUUGGCUCAAAAAAUACAGAGAGCGUGGCUUAUUCAUUUGAACAAAACAAUAUUUCAUCUCCUAAAACACACUAUUUGUGCAGCGGAGUAUUGCGUGAUUCAUGGAAUACUGAAGAAUGUGAGCCCCUUGGAAGCUGGAAUUGUUAAAGACCCUAGCAUGAAGUAUAAAGUCAGAUUCAGGUAAUAUGUCUGUGCUGCUUUCUUUCACGGAGUACUUCAUUCAUAAGGAGAGGUCUUAGAAAUUAGUUUUUUAAAUCUUCACAACUCCCCAGGCUGGAAUUCCAAAGUAAAUG